GAUCAUGGCUCAGGACGAACGCUGGCGGCGUGCUUAACACAUGCAAGUUGAACGGUAUGACAUGGAAGCUUGCUGAAGUGUCAUAUAGUAGCGGACGGGUGAGUAAUGCAUGAGAAGCUGCCAUUGGGAGGGGGACAACAGUUGGAAACGGCUGCUAAUACCCCGUAUGCCGGAAGGUGAAAGGGAGCGAUCCGCCCGAUGAGGUGCUCAUGUCCUAUCAGCUGGUUGGUGGGGUAACGGCCUACCAAGGCGACGACGGGUAGCCGGCCUGAGAGGGUGAACGGCCACACUGGAACUGAGAUACGGUCCAGACUCCUACGGGAGGCAGCAGUGGGGAAUAUUGGGCAAAUGGGGGCAACCCUGACCCAGCGACGCCGCGUGGGGGAAGACGGCCUUCGGGUUGUAAACCUCUUUUGUACGGGAAGAAGGAAGUGACGGUACUGUACGAAUAAGUCCCGGCUAACUACGUGCCAGCAGCAGC
rnacentral:rRNA from 1 species